UUUUGUCACGCGAUCUCCGAUUCCAUUUUCGUAAUUUUUUUCCUUUUUCAACGGACGACCGGGUCCGAUGCGAUGAAAUUUCGACGGAUAAUCUAUCUGAGAUUGUUAUAUCAAAGGCUGCCACAGUCGAUGACUUGGGCAGCCAUUGCGUCGGGUUCAAUGGAUCUGAAUCCAAAUAUUUGGAACUUCUGUAUAUUGUAGACCGAAUUAUUUGUCCCAUCGGUUUCUAGUGUACAUUGAGUGAAUCUGAUUUUGGAAACCUGAUCGACUUGCUCUGAAACGAUCCGAUUUCGAGCCUUCGAAUGCCCCGAAAAAUUUUCCGAACGAUGCGUUGUAGUUAAACGGAGAUAUCAUCGAUUCGCUUCGUGAACAUAUCGGGAGCGAAAUUUCUAUAUGAUGGCGCUAUGAACCGAUGGGAUGUGUGCUGCCAUUUUUUAGAAUUCUUAUAAACCACGGAGAACGUUAUCGCUGUUGACCGAAUGCUGCUCACCUGUAAAACGGAAGCGGGUAAGCAAAGGCUAAGGGUGCAAGCUCCACCGACGGUAAGGUGGAUGAAAAAAUGAAAAUUACGUCGAUAUCUGGUGAGAUGAAGCGUUAGUUUUCGCAUACGACUUUCGCGUAAUUUUAUUUGGAAAGAUUCGAGUAUAUCGGUGGAAGCAAUGAUAAGUCGAUACAACAUCCUGAGGCACGAGAUGAUCCAAGGGAGAGGAAGUUGGUUGAUAAAAACAGCAAAAAAUAAUUAUUGCGUCCUCUAUCUCAGUUUACAAAAGUUUUAAUAUUUUAAGAAUAGUUAACAGUACUUUGUUUGUUACAGUAGUUCAUUAAUAAUAAUAUAAUAAUAAAUUGCAUUAAUCGUAAUAGUAUAUAAACUAAUAACAAAAGAAUGAUUUUGAAU